AGGGGAACUCAGGGAACUGAAACAUCUAAGUACCUGAAGGAAGAGAAAGAAAUUCGAUUCCGUAAGUAGCGGCGAGCGAACGCGGAUUAGCCCAAACUAAUAAAGUUUUCUUUAUUGGGGUUGCCGACAUAUCAUAACGAAGAGGUAUCGUAAUUGAAGAGGUUUGGAAAGACCCACCACAGAAGGUAAUAGUCCUGUAUGUUAAACGAGAAGACUUUAGAUAUGAUCCAGAGUACCACGGGACACGUGAAACCCUGUGGGAAGCAGGAGGGACCACCCUCCAAGGCUAAAUACUACCUAGUGACCGAUAGCGUAUAGUACCGUGAGGGAAAGGUGAAAAGAACCCCGGGAGGGGAGUGAAAUAGAACCUGAAACCCUGCACUUACAAGCUGUGGAAGGACAUUUCUUGUGUGACCGCGUACUUUUUGUAGAACGGGCCAACGAGUUACGUUAAGUAGCAAGGUUAAGCACUUAAGGUGCGGAGCCGUAGCGAAAGCGAGUUUUAACUGAGCGUUCAGUUACUUGACGUAGACCCGAAACCGGGCGACCUACCCAUGAGCAGGAUGAAGCGAAAGUAAAAUUUCGUGGAGGUCCGAACCCACGAGCGUUGAAAAGCUCGGGGAUGACUUGUGGGUAGCGGUGAAAUUCCAAUCGAGCCCGGAGAUAGCUGGUUCUCCCCGAAAUAGCUUUAGGGCUAGCCUCAAGGUGA
rnacentral:rRNA from 1 species